rnacentral:tRNA from 1 species
GGGCGAUUGGCUCAGUUGGUUAGAGCGCUGCGCUCACAUCGCAGAGAUCACUGGUUCGAAUCCAGUAUCGCCCACCA